CCCCCAGGCGGCUGGGUAGGGCCUGAGCCACCCUGUGCCCACCCCAUCUGGCUAUGGGUGUUCAUGGAUAGGUAUUGACAGCCCUGACCCAAAGGGGACCCGCCCAGGGGCCACUGCGAGCCUGGGGUCAGGUCCUACCUUCUGCAGUUGUACCUCCAGGCGCACUCUGUCCACUCCACCUUCCUUCCUGGAGCGUUUUCCCACAGGUGCCACUGGGCUCUGGCCAGUCAGGGACAAUGGGCUCGAGGCCCAGGGGGGUGCCGGGAGGCGUGAGCAGACACGAGGAGUCCACGUGGAGGUCACCAGCCUGGGGGCCCCCGCGGCUCUGCCUUCCCGGAGCACCCGGGGCGCGAGGAGCCCCGGUGGGAGGAGGAGGGCGCAAAUGGCCAGCUUCUCGAGCCCCCCGGGAAAGCAGUGGGCAGCUCAGGGCCUCCAGAGGCCCUUCAGCGGUGCCGUGGGACAGUCCCUGGGGGAGACAGACAGGGACGCAGUGCUCAGGGGCCUCCCCUGCCUUCUGUAGACCCACAGGGGCCCCAGAGACUGCCCCCAACUGCCCCAUCACCCAGCGCCAGCAUUACCUUGAGGCCCUCAGGUGGGGGAGGCCCAACACCAGGUCUGCCACGCAGGCUCCAUAGGAAGUGGCGGACAUACAGAAGAUGCUGGUAGAGGCUUUCAUCGGGGCAGUCGGCUUCCAAAUCCACCUGGAAACCCUCGCUCGGCAACACAAUGGGCGGGGGGUUCUCGUAGGACUCCAGCACGUCCUCUGCGGGCGACGGUGGGAACGCUGGGACCGUGCAGGCCCCGAGGGACCUCCCGCCCGGCCCUAGGCUCACCAGCCAGCCCUGCCCGCUGCUGGAGGUACGAGGCACACACACGUGCUGGGCCCGGCACAGGCCACCCGCCCAAACCCCUCUCCCGGCCCUUCUGCAGCCCGGUGGCCACAAAGGACGAAGCCCAAGCCACCUCGCCCCCUCCCCCGCACCCCCAGCCUGCCCUCCUGGGGCGCCAAAGGGCCAUACUGACUGCAUCCCACCCUGUCACCGGGACCCCGUGUCCCAGAACACGAGCACCCUCCCAUGGCAGCAGGCCCUGGGAGUCGGGGCGGGGGGCCAGCCGGGCCAGCGGAGCCGGAGUCCUGUCACAGGCCACGCCCUGGGUGUGGGAGCCUAAGGCCCUAUUUCUAGCUCUAUCUUCUACCUUAUCUUAAUCUGUGUCAUUAGGUGUGCUAACAAGGAGAGACGUGAAUCUAUUUGUAAAUAGAUGUGUGAACCUACGUGGCAAGUAUGCCAUCUUGGCACAGAACAUGGAGACCCUGUUCUCCUCCUGGUGGGCUGUGCCCCAAGUGGGGCCCAUCCUCAGGCUCCAUGUUGGAUAGGGCGACCCUGAACCUAACCCAGAGGCCAUGAACUGUGGGCUCCCUGACCUCCAUCUAGGGGCGUCUCCAGGUGCCCAGGUGGAGGACAGGGCAUGGAGGAGGAAGAUGGCCCCAGGUGGAGGGGACAGAGGUCCUGUGGGCUCCCAGGGAAGUCCCACUGGAAGCUCCCCACUGUCCCCACCAUGGCCCACAGGGUCCCGCCCUGGGGGAGGCUCACCUGACUUGAAGGCGUCGGGGCUGUCCCGGGCGCCGGGCUCCCAGGCGCUCACGGGGCCCAUGCCAGCGGCCAGCUGGUACUGCAUGAGCAGCCGGUGCAGCUGCGCAGGGCUCAGGGCGGGGAAUGCGGCCCGCAGGCUCGCCCAGCUCAUCUGGGGGACAAGGAGGAGCAUGUGGGCAGAGGGUCUUUCUCCUGGGCACUCUGGGGGCAGGGUCCGGGCUCCCAACGAACACACCCAGGGCCGUGGCACCCCUGAGGGCUGCUGAGGUCAGCAGGGGGGUGGGGGGGGUGCCACAGCCUCAUGGGCAGCCAGGGUGAGAGCCGGCUGGGGCAGUCGGUCCCGAGUGGCCAGCAAGCACCCCACUGCGGGCUCCAUCCCCUCAACACACCUCUCCCGAUAGUACCUGGCAGGGCUGAGAUACCAGGAAAAGAGCAAUCAGAUUCCUGCCCCGAAGAGUGUACACAAAUCAGACCCGGAGGGCGGCAGACACACAUGAAGGCACAGCCUUCCAGGAUGGGAGGCUUCCUGCAGGGGGAGGAGCAGCCCAAGCUUGGGGAGGAGGGUGGGCUCAUGCUCGACAGAACAGAAUAACAGGUACAGUCACCCAUGACCCUACAAUGGGCCAGGGAUGCCCUUCCCCUCCUGUUUUCUGGAAACUUCUCUCGCAUUCUCUCGCCUAAUCCCCAUUUCUGUGACACAGACGCUCCAGCAGCUUCUUGGUGCCCCAAGGACCACGGCUGACCCUGUAGGCGGCAGGGGGGGGGGGCACUGCGCCCUCCAUGGCAAGUGGUGCCCAGCUCCCAGCGUGGCUCUUCAAAGUAGGAAACCUCUGUGAUGGCUCAGCUUCUGGGAAGUUCCCAGGCUCCGCUCGCCCAUCGUCCCCGAACUACAGGGGCUUAAAACAAGGAAGCAGAACGUGGGAUGGUGGCUGUUCAUGCUGCCCAGCCGGGCCCCGUCUGUGCCCGUCUCUCGUGCUGGAGGCUGUUCCCUCAUGCCUGCCAGCGGGCUCACGGGGGGACAGGCAUCUGCAUCCUCUGGCCCCUGCCUGCGCGCCCCUGGCCCCCGCGCGGCCGGCUCAGCCCCUCCUGCGCAGAGCACAGGGCCUCCAGCACGCGGAAGGGUCUCCGUUCCAGGACGAGGCUCCUGGCAUCACGAUGACAGCGUGGUUUUCCCAGCUGGGAGACCCUCUGUUCUAAACGCUCUAGAAGGAAGCACGAGGGGAGGGCGGAGGCCCCGGCCUGCCUCUGGCUCAGCCCGGUCCUGCAUUUGCGCUGCUGGGCAGAGCUGCAGGGAGAGAAUAGGCCCCGUCUUUUCAAGAUUUUAAGUAUUCUCUAUACCCGUCGUGGAGGACUGGAACUCACAACCCCAAGGUCGAGAGCCAGCCAGGAGCCCCUUGGUAUUAAUUUUAACUAUUUCUCCCCAGUGUUACUGAGACACAAUUCAUUUUACGUGUAAGAUCUGAAUAAUGUUCCCUCCAUCUUGAUGUUGGCAAUUUGUACUUCCUCACUUUUCUCAUGCUUUAUAAGAGCCACUCUUGGCUUUUUGCUCUUCUCCAUCAUGUAUUUGUUUACACA